rnacentral:misc_RNA from 1 species
UACGGAGGGGGUUAGCGUUGUUCGGAAUUACUGGGCGUAAAGCGCACGUAGGCGGAUCAGAAAGUUGGGGGUGAAAUCCCGGGGCUCAACCCCGGAACGGCCUCCAAAACUCCUGAUCUGGAGUUCGAGAGAGGUGAGUGGAAUUCCGAGUGUAGAGGUGAAAUUCGUAGAUAUUCGGAGGAACAUCAGUGGCGAAGGCGGCUCACUGGCUCGAUACUGACGCUGAGGUGCGAAAGUGUGGGGAGCAAACAGG